CACAUCUUCAACUUUCAGAUGAUUUAUGAGGUCCACCCCUAAUCUUCUUCCUCCUUUCACCACUCACCACCGUCGUCAACACCUUCAACCCACCACCACCUCCAUUAUCACCUUCAACCCACCGCCUCCAUCUCUAUCGUAAGCUCACCACCACCACCGUCACAUUUAAGAAAAAACAAAACAAAAAAUAAUUACCUACCCUGCCUUUUAAUUGCGCCCAGAUCAUGUUGACCAUUGUUGAUGAUCCCAGUUGACACUCUCAUUGAGGAAAGGCUUAUCGAGGAACCGAUUAACGAGUAUGUCCAGAGUUGUGAUAUUGUGGCCUUCAACAAGAUCUAGUGCAUCAAUGGUGGACUGGAUGCUACUGUGAAGCAUGGCGGCUUAUUUUUGUUUUAUUGUGUUUCAUCCUCUCAAGGAAAAUUAUCUAUCAGACUUCUUGUUUCAGUUUUGAGUUUUGAAUAUUACUUUUUUAUUGUUUAUUUA